rnacentral:lncRNA from 1 species
UGUGAAACUACACAAAAUUGUAAGCAUUUUUUAUGUAUGAAAUUUUUUACAUACCAUCCAUAGAUAAUUUACUACAAAUUAAUUCAUUUUAACAUGGAAUCACGCAAAUCAAUGCAAACUUCAGGUUAAACAUUUUUAAACAUGCAUCAAAGUUGGUUAGUAUGAACUAACACGAAAUUCUGAAUAAUUUACAUAUCUAAAUUAUUUUAAUAUGGUGUAUGGUUGAAAAUUUAUUACCAUUUUAAAAUGAUGCUUUUUCUGUAAUUAAAAUGCAUUGAUUAAUUAGGAAAAUACUGCACACAAUAAAAAAAACACUACGUGCUGAAUCCCGAUGUGGUCCAACAACAGAUGGGCACAACAUAGCUAUGCGGUGUAGCGGGCGAAGGAUAGGUCAACAUGAGUGGGGCUGGGUUGG